GAUGAAAUCAUUCAAAUAUUAAAAUAUAUAUAUAUAUUUUUUUCCCUUUCCCUUCUUCUACAUUACCUUUUUCUGUAAAUAUCUUAUAGAGGUUGGGAUGCUUCUAGUGAUAAUUCUUCGAAUUAGUUAGGCUAUUAGUAGUUAGAAAAAAUUAAAGUGUUUAAAGCAGGCUAUCGCUUGAAUUAAUAAGAUAGGUCCUAUUUUGUUGGUUUCUAGGUUUGACGUAAUGAUUAAUAGGAAUAGUUGGGGGUCAUCCGUAUUCAAUUGUCAGAGGUGAAAAUCUUGGAUUUUUUUUAUUGGACUAACUACUUUGGAAGAUUUUUUUUAUUGGACUAACUACUUUCGGAGGAUAUUUUUUUUAUUGGACUAACUACUUUCGGCGGAUAUUUUUUAUUGGACUAACUACUGCGAAAUCAUUUGCCAAGGGUGUUUUCAUUAAUCAAGAACGAAAAUUAGGGGAUUCGAAGACGAUCAGAUUAACCGUUGUAGUCUUAACCAUAAAUUAUGCUGACUAGGACGGAGAUUCCGUUUUAAAAGGCGGCAUUUGCAAAUAUAACCAAGGUUAAUAUUCCUACACC
rnacentral:ncRNA from 1 species